AUUAUAACUGAACCUAGGUGGAAAGGAUCUAGACGUGGAAGCUGUGGGUUCCCUGUUGAUGCUUUCCCAUGGCUCAAACUCAGUGUAGCUGAAAAUAACCUUCUGUAGCAGCCAAUAUGGCUAUUUUAGUUACAUCUCACAAAAAAGGAUGCUAUUUGAUUUUCUUUUAAUGAUGACUUUCUAAGUGUUUAUGAAUGUAGUAUUUCACAAAAUAAUAAGUUGUCAAAAAUAUGACUGGUUGUAAAUGAGCCAAAAUUAAAAGCAAAAUGACAUCUUUGUGUAGAGCCAAGCAAUCUUUAAAUAAAUUUUCUAAGCAUCAUCUCCUUACACCUUCAAGCAGACCUGCGAGAGAAUUCACUCAUAGUCUAAGGUCCUUUUGCAUAUGAGAAAAUAGACUCUCUAAGAGAAUCAUAGACUUGACAAAAGUGCCAUUCCUUUAAAAAAUGAGAAUGUUUCACUCUUUCUAAAUAUAUUAAAAAUGACAGAGGUAAGAAACUGUAGAGAUCACCAAAUUAAACGUACUGUAUCAAGGUGGCACUUGAGAUCUAAAAGACUUUAUUUUUUUAGAUACGGCCUCACUCUGUUGCCCAGACUGGAGUGCAGUGGUUUCAUCACAGCUCAUUGCAGCCUUGACCUCUGGGCUCAGGUGAUCCUCCUACCUCAGCCUCCUGGGCAGAUGCCACAUGCCACCAUACCUGGAGAUAUUGAGAUCAAUCACCAUACCUGGUGAUAUUGAGAUCAAUAGGCACAUGCCACCAUACCUGGUGAUACUGAGAGGUGACAACGUGCUGGCCACCCUCGCUCGCUCUCAGUGCCUCCUCCGCCUCGGUGUCAGCUCUGGCCACUCCUGAUGAGCCCUUCAGCCGCCGCUGCACUGUGGGAGCCCCUCUCUGGGCGCUGAGGCUGGAGCGGGCUCCCUCUAGUUGCAUGGAGGUGUGGAGGGAGAGGCGCGGGCGGGAACCUGGGUUGCGCGCGGCGCUCGAGGGCCAGCGCGAGUUCCGGGUGGGUGUGGUCUCGGCGGGCCCAGCACUCGGAGCGACCGACAGGCACCGCCGGCCCCGGGGCAGUGAGGGGCUUAGCACCCUAGCUAGCAGCUGCGGAGGGGGCACCGGCUACCCCAGCACUUCUGGCAUGCCCGCGCCGCGCUCGAAUUCUUGCUGGGCGUCAGCCGCCUCCCGGCAGGGCAGGUCUCAGGACCUGCAGCCCGCCAUGCCCGAGCCCCCCUCCGCGGUGGGCUCCCGCGCGGCCCGAGCCUCCCGGACGAGCGCCGCAGGGACCGCCCAAGGGCUGAGGAGUGCAGGCACAAGGGACACGGUUUUGCCAUGUUGCCCAGACUGGUCUCGAACUCUUGGGCUACAGUGAUUCACCUGCCUUGGCCUCCUAAAGUGCUGGAAUUACAGGCACAAGCCAAGAGGCAGUUUCCACAUCAUGCAGCAAGCAGAGGAUGGAACCCUGGUUCGUAAGUUUCAUUUUAAUGUGGUUUCAACUGGGUCUUGUGGUCUCAUUUUCCCUCUCUUCAUCAGCCCUAUUUCUUAUUCUCCUCCUCCCCGUUGUCGUCACCAUCCUCAUCACCACUAGAUUUCUUGGGUAAUAAUCAUAAUUAGUAGACUUUUACUGGGAAAUCCAAAGGGAUUGAAAUAAUGAGUGGAAAUAUGGAAGGUUCUAUUCAGCUUUCUGUGACAGAAAUUGGAAUGACAAUGAUUGAUGCUCCCUGGUGAACUUGAUCUAAUUUUGUUUAUAACUUUCUUUUCUUUUUUUUUUUUUUUUGGCUCAUAAUAUAAUUGCUUUUUUUAUUAUUAAACUUUAAGUUCUAGAGUACAUGUGCACAAUGUGCAGGUUUGUUACAUAUGUAUGCAUGAGCUAUGUUGGUGUGCUGCACCCAUCAACUCAUAAUUUGUAUCAGGUAUAUCUCCUAAUGCUAUCCCUCCCCUGCUUCCCCCACCCCACGACAGGCCCUGGUGUGUGAUAUUCCCCGCCCUGUGUCCAAGUGUUCUCAUUGUUCAAUUCCCAUCUAUGAGUGAGAACAUGCAGUGGUUGGUUUUUCGUCCUUGCGAUAGUUUGCUGAGAAUGAUGGUUUCCAGCUGCAUCCAUGUCCCUACAAAGGACAUGAACUCAUCCUUUUUUAUGGAUGCAUAGUAUUCCAUGGUGUAUAUGUGCCACAUUUUCUUAAUCCAGUCUAUUAUUGAUGGACAUUUGGGUUGGUUCCAAGUCUUUGCUAUUGUGAAUAGUGCCUCAAUAAAUAUAUUGUGCGUGUGUCUUUAUAGCAGCAUGAUUUAUAAUCCUUUGGGUAUAUAUCCAGUAAUGGGAUGGCUGGGUCAAAUGGUGUUUCUAGUUCUAGAUCCUUGAGGAAUCGCCACACUGUCUUCCACAAUGGUUGCACUAGUUUACAGUCCCACCGACAGUGUAAAAGUGUUCCUAUUUCUCCAGCACCUGUUGUUUCCUGACUUUUUAAUGAUUGCCAUUCUAACUGGUGUGAGAUGGUAUCUCAUUGUGGUUUUGAUUUGCAUUUCUCUGAUGGCCAGUGAUGAUGAGCGGUUUUCCAUGUGUCUGUUGGCUGCAUAAAUGUCUUGUUUCGUAAUUUAAAAAAGUUAUAAUUCAACUUAGCUCUAUAUACCAAAUUCUCACCUGUG
rnacentral:lncRNA from 1 species